UAACCAUGGCUGGAAAAAGUCGUAUUUCAAGUUCCAUGAACCUUCUUCAGAUCUGUCCUAUGCUCUGGAAACAGGAAAGGAUGGGUCCAGAGCAAUCCAAAUGGCUGUGCAGGUGAACAUCCUCAAAUACCUUUUAUUUACAAGGAGUGAAAAAGGCAGCGACUUUUUCAGUUUAUGCAGAAUGAGCCAUCGAGUACAGAAAGAGGCCCUCUCAGCAGCUCUGGCAGAUACUCUGUGGGCUGCAGGAGAAAGACAAAAAGUCAUCAUCUGUGUCGUCA